AGGAAAAGAAAAGAAAGGAAAAAGAAAAAAAAAAGGAAAAAAGAGCAGAGAGAAGAGGCUAUAAAACAAAAAAAGAAAAAAAAAAAAGAAAGAAAGAAAGAAAGAAAGAAAAAAGAAAUAAAAAGGAUCCGAAACAAUCGAGUUCAAUCAUAACUGUUCAAGACCACUAGAAAAUUCUAGAAUUAAUAAUACAUCAAAUAUUUUUCUUAUAAGAUGCAAAUCAAAGGAUCAUGUCGAACCGAAGAAAUCUCGGACAAGGCGAUUUUUUUGUCCAAGUCGGAACGGUGCCUCGAGUCCCUUUGAUUCGUUCAGCGAUCGAGCAAGGAUGCGGGGCGAUGAAGGAGGGGUGUGGUGCGCUUGGAAAUUUUGUUAUUUGCUUACUCGGCAGCCUGUGUUUUUAGUAUUAUUAAUCACAGAGUAAUCGGUCGGUCUUAAUUAGUGUCGAUACCAGACAGGGUUGUAAAAUGACGUAAUUAGUAGAGUUUGAAUGCAAACAGAGAAAAGGGUGGAUUAAGGGGAUGAGAGGGUUAAGGGUGAAGGGUGAAGGGGGUAAAAGUAGAUAGGGUCGAUCGGUUAACGUUCUCGUUUCGAAUUCGAGGCUUCGCCGAUUGAAAGGACUUUGCCUUUGAGUUCUCGAGAACGAAACUGAAAUGUUUUGAUUUCGAUCGAUAUUAACUUUAUAUAUAUAUAUAUACAUAUAUAUACAUAUAUAUAUACAUAUAUGUAUAUAUAUAAUAUAGAACAUAUAUAUAUAUAUAUACAUAUCGAGCGAAACAAAUCGUUUACAAAAUGCAAAGAGAGCGAGAGAGAGAGAGAUAUAUAUAUCGUGCACGAGUUGCUUUGGAUGCUGAGAGAAUAUUGUUUUUAAAACAUGAGAGAGAGACGACUAACAUGAAACUGGGAAACAUGCUAGGAUGUACAAGUUCGAUAAGCUAAUUGAUUAUUACAUAUGUAUGUAUAUAUACAGAGAUAUAUAUUAAUUUGUAACAAUGAAUCGAUAAUACUAAUAUAUUUUCAAUAUUUUAUAUCCAAAUAGAUAAUGUUAGAAAAUGUAGGAUUCUUUUCUUUUCUUUUCUUAUGUUUUAUUUAUUUUUUUCUUUGGUGUUCGUUCUUUUUAUUUUUUUUUAUUUUUUUUUUUUUUUUUUUUUUUUUUCUAAAUAAAAAGUAGAUAUUAAUUCUUGCGCAAAAAAAAAGAAAAAAUUGUAAGCAAGCUAGGCCAAAAGAAUCAUUUAGGAAUUUUCAUAGAUGCUUAUUUCGACGUAUUUAAUUUUUAAUUUAGAUAUAAAACAUUCGACUGGCGAUAUUAAAUCUAUCGAAGAAAUUUCCAUUCUUUAUACUAAGAAGGGGGGGAAAAAGAAGAAAAACAAAAAAAAAAAAACAAAAAAGAAAACAAAGGUUCUUUUAAAAAAUCGAACAACUAACAUGAUUUAGACAGAACAAUUCUCGAUAGGUUUAAUAUUUUCUUUUCUCUUUUUUAUUAUUUAUCAUUAUCAGUAUUGAAUCGGAGAGAAGAAAAGCUACGAAAUAGAAAAGUGUACGGAAUAAAUUUUCUCUCGUUUUUAUAUUAGCGCAGCUUCCCAUUGUAGGAUCGAUUCAAAUCGUCUGUUUUAAACGUGAAAAGUGUUCUCGACUCUUGGAAGACUAAGAGACACCGUUUUCUCGACGAUAUCGGCCACGAAAUGGUCGUCUAUUGUUAGUCGUGUGCGCAAUUUAAAAAAAAAAAAAAAAAAAAAAAAAGGAAAGAAAGAAAAGGAAAAAAAAAGCAGAAAGAAAUAUGCGCACGUAUACCUGGUGUAGAUAAUGGCUUCGGUUGUGUUGGGGUUGCAUUUGGUCCUGCCACUACCGACGAUGCUGCUGGACUAUACGCCCUUAAAAGAGGUCCACCUCGUGGUAAAGUACUACUACCACCAACGUAAUAUCCACCACUACCGGAAUUGGAAUUUUUCGCUGUCUGAAAAUACAUAAAAUUAUUUCAUUUACUGUACAUCGAUAUAUUAAUCUUCUUUAUUUUAUUCCGAUAUAUAUUUAUAUAUGUUUUAUUAUUCCUUUAAACAGUUCAUUAAUUAAUUCUAAAUGUA